UGAUGGUGAAGGUUUAUAUUUGGUCUUGUUCAUCAUAACUGUCAUUUAUCUGCCUUGCCCACCAUCCUGCUAUAUCACCACCCAUAUUCUGAGCCC
rfam:Triticum aestivum genome assembly, contig: Triticum_aestivum_CS42_TGACv1_scaffold_195704_3AL